rnacentral:rRNA from 1 species
UACGUAGGUGGCAAGCGUUGUCCGGAUUUACUGGGCGUAAAGGGAGCGUAGGCGGACUUUUAAGUGAGAUGUGAAAUACCCGGGCUUAACCUGGGUGCUGCAUUUCAAACUGGAAGUCUAGAGUGCAGGAGAGGAGAAUGGAAUUCCUAGUGUAGCGGUGAAAUGCGUAGAGAUUAGGAAGAACACCAGUGGCGAAGGCGAUUCUCUGGACUGUAACUGACGCUGAGGCUCGAAAGUGUGGGUAUCAAAC